GAUGAACGCUGGCGGCGUGCCUAAUACAUGCAAGUCGAGCGAACGGACGAGAAGCUUGCUUCUCUGAUGUUAGCGGCGGACGGGUGAGUAACACGUGGAUAACCUACCUAUAAGACUGGGAUAACUUCGGGAAACCGGAGCUAAUACCGGAUAAUAUUUUGAACCGCAUGGUUCAAAAGUGAAAGACGGUCUUGCUGUCACUUAUAGAUGGAUCCGCGCUGCAUUAGCUAGUUGGUAAGGUAACGGCUUACCAAGGCAACGAUGCAUAGCCGACCUGAGAGGGUGAUCGGCCACACUGGAACUGAGACACGGUCCAGACUCCUACGGGAGGCAGCAAUAGGGAAUCUUCCGCAAUGGGCGAAAGCCUGACGGAGCAACGCCACGUGAGUGAUGAAGGUCUUCGGAUCGUAAAACUCUGUUAUUAGGGAAGAACAUAUGUGUAAGUAACUGUGCACAUCUUGACGGUACCUAAUCAGAAAGCCACGGCUAACUACGUG
rnacentral:rRNA from 1 species